rnacentral:lncRNA from 1 species
UGGAUAAUAUUUGUCAAAUACAAACGAAAGUGCUACUAUUUCUAUUUUGCAAAAUUUUUUGGAAGUAAACAAGGCCUUGGUUCCGUCUGUUAAACUUUAGUCCCUAUCACAUCAAAUAUUUGGACACAUAUAUGAAUAUUAAAUAUAGACUAUUUACAAAACUAAAAACAUAGCCAGAGAAUAAUUAGCUAGAGAAUAAUUUGCGCGAUAAUUUUUUAAGCUUAAUUAGUUUAUGAUUGGACACUAAUUGCUAUAGUUACAAAUGUCCUACAGUACCUAUUAAAUUUUAGUCCCUCCAACCAAACACCCCCUUAGCUAGUUUGUUAAGUUGAAGUAUUAAUAUUUAAUACCCAUCAUCAGAAUAUGCAUAGUGCAGUGGGACUACUAGAAUGUAUGUUUUUUCUUGUAAGUUGUAGUGUGUUGCAUAUUUAUGCACAUUUCAUUUCUUUAGUACCGGAGAAUAUGUUCCUAUGUGCUACAUCACACCAAGCUUGGAACUAUGUUUCUUUAUUCUAAAUUUGAAAUGUGCUAGUGUUUCAUGUGUUAGAUUAAUUUGAUUAAAUUGUAGAUAAGCUACAUAAUUCGUUUAAAUAGUUAUAUUGAAGUGAUCUUUUGAUUUUUCAUUCGUGUAACCUUACGAGAUUUACCAAUGGUAUUGACAACUUUUUCAACCGUUUCUAGGCGAAAGUAUUGUCCACUGCUGCACUUGAAGUACAUCUUCUCUGUUCAAGGAUGUUAGAGUAUAUGAGUAUUAGGCCCAUGAGGCCCAUGUAUCCCUAACUAUAUGGCCACCCUGAUUAGGGUUAGCCCAAUAAUGAAAUCAGAAAGUCUAACAUGGUAUCAGCUUAGGGUUUUCUUCCUCCCCUGCUCCCUGCCCACCCCAGCCGCCGCCACCUCUGGCUGGCGCGCCGCCGGCGGCCAUGGCCGGCCGGCCUGAUCCCCCUCCUCCUCCUUUCUACUUCAACCACUUCCCUCCUCUCCUCCCCUCUUCCUGGGCGCAAAUCGCGCAGCAGACGCCGCCCAGAGCCGCCGCCCCUGCCUCUACUUCUUCUGGCGCAGCUGCUGGCCUGGCCGCCGGCGCUUCUGGCGCAGCUGCUGGCCUGGCCGCCGGCGCGGCUGCGGCUCUGGCCGCGCGCGCGGAGCCGGCGGACGCCGCCCAAGAUGGCGCUCGCGCGGAUGCGGACGGCGCCCGCGCGGAUGCGGACAGAGCCGCAACCGACGUCCGCCUGCAGGCGACCGCGCCCGGAGCUGGCCUUCAGGCCGCUCUGGCUGGCGACCAGGACGCGCCCGACGCGGCCACCGCGGCUGCCUACGCCCGGGGUGCCGCUGCUGCCAUCGCAGCUGGCCUGGGCAUGCCUCCGGAUGUCUCCUCUCUGCCGCUGCUCACGGCCUCGGGGCCUCUGCCCAGGGGACCGGCCCCUGGUCUGGCAGCAGGGACGCGCGCGGGAGCUCCGUCCGCGGCCCCCUUCCCUGCCCCGCCUCCGCCGCCCGUGAUGCACCGUCCGGACUCCUCCCUGCUCGCCGCCCUCGUCACUGCUCGUGUUGCGGCUGCGGAGGGCCGGGCCCGCGUGCGUGAGGCCGCUCUUGCUUGGGAGCGUGAGCGAGACGCGGCCGACGCCUUGGCCCACCAGAUCGCCGACGCCGAGCAGUUCCUCGGCCUUCCAGCCUCACCUGACGUCGGGACCUCGUCCUCGGGAUCGGCUUCGGUCGUCUGGCACGAUCCAGCCGACCCCCACGUGGUGCAGCUCCACUACCAGGCAGGGGGCGUCCAGAACAUCCGCCUCCUCGUCCCGGUCGUCCUCGAGCCCGAGUCGCCCUCCUACGCUCGCUGGAGGGACUUGGUCCUCCUCACCCUCCGCCGCUACGCCCUCGACGACCACGUCCUCCUCGACGCCUCGGGGGCGGUCCCGACCCCCUCGUGGCUUCGCCUCGACAGCGUCGUCCUCUCCUGGAUUCUGGGGACGAUCUCCCUGGAUCUCCACGACCUCGUCCGCAACACCCCGAGCGCUCACGGGGCCUGGCUGGCACUCGAGGGCCAGUUCCUGGGCAACGCCGAAGCCCGGGCUCUGCGGCUCGACGCGAGCUUCCGCACCUUCGUCCAGGGCGACCUCUCCGUCAGCGAGUACUGCCGCCAGAUGAAGGGUAUGGCGGACUCCCUCGGCGACCUCGGCUGGCCCGUGGAGGACCGCAUCUUGGUCCUCAACGUUCUCCGCGGGCUCAGUGACCGAUACUCCUACCUCCGGACGUGGAUCACCAGGCAGCGGCCCUUCCCCACCUUCCUGCAGGUCCGUGACGACCUUGUCAUGGAGGAGCUUACUCAGGGCCUACAGCCUGGGUCCACCUCCGCUUCGGGGUCCUCGUCCUCCUCCUCGACUGCUCUCGCUGCCACUCCACCUCGUCCCGCCACCCCACCACAGUCGUCACUUCUGGGUCCUCUUCCCCCCGGGCCGAGCGGGGGUGGGGGGGGCCGUGGGGGCCGCCGUCGUCGUGGUGGGGGACGUGGAGCAGGUCGUGGGGGCAACACGACGACGCUGCCACCUCCACGAGGUGCACCCUGGCCAUCCUACAACCACCCAUGGUCAGGGCGCAUCUCCAUGUGGCCGUUCCAGGCUUCCGGUGGCGAGCCUCGCCCGCCGGCGGCCAUGCUUGCGGGUGCUCCCCCGGGGUUCCCCUCAGUGACCCCGUGGGCGGCCCCGUUUCCGGCGUCCUCGUGGGCUACUCCACCGACGCCCUUGCCCGGGUCGGCCGGCUGGGACCAGGCGGCCUUGGCGCACUCCUUCAGCACCAUGGCCCUGACACCCCCAGUCGGGCCGGAGUGGGUCGCCGACUCUGGGGCUACUUACCACACCACUCCUAAGCCCGGUAUACUUUCUUCUGUUCGCCCUCCUUCUCCAUCUCUCCCUUCGUCCAUUAUGGUCGCUAAUGGGUCUUGUCUUCCUGUCACCUCUGUGGGUGCUGCCGGCCCCCAUGGUUCCUUUCGUCUUCCUGAUGUUCUUGUUGCUCCUUCUAUGGUUCACAAUCUUCUUUCUAUUCGUCGUUUUACAGCUGACAAUUCUUGUUCUGUGGAGUUUGACUCUUCUGGUCUUACUGUGAAGGAUUUGGCUUCCCGGCGUCCUCUGCUCCGAUGUGACAGCACGGGGCCCCUUUACACUCUUCGCUUUCCAGCAUCUGCCUCGCCUCCUUCGCCAGUUUUGUCAGCUGCCUUCGCCACCACCACCUCCACUACUUGGCACCGGCGUCUCGGCCAUCCUGGACGUGAUGUUUUAAUGCAGCUUAGUCGUAGUUCCGAUAUUCGAUGUACUCGGGCUCACGAUGAGCAUUUGUGUCAUGCGUGCCAACUGGGCCGACAUGUUCGUCUUCCUUUUUCUAGUUCUUCUUCUCAUGCGGCCCGCAUUUUUGACCUUGUACAUUGUGACUUAUGGACCUCUCCUGUCAUCAGUAUUUCUGGAUACAAGUACUAUCUUGUGGUGGUGGAUGAUUAUUCUCAUUAUUCCUGGACUUUUCCUUUACGUGCAAAGUCUGAUGCUUUCCCCGCGCUUGUCCACUUUUUCGCUUGGGUGUCCACUCAGUUCGGCCUCACUAUCAAGGCUGUCCAGUGUGACAAUGGUCGGGAGUUCGACAACUCCGCCUCCCGUGCCUUCUUUCUCUCUCACGGUGUCCAGUUGCGCAUGUCUUGCCCGUAUACAUCCUCUCAAAACGGCAAGGCUGAGCGCAUGAUUCGCACCACCAACGACACCGUGCGCACUCUCCUGCUCCAGGCCUCUCUUCCUGCUCACUUCUGGGCCGAGAGCUUGCACACCUCCACUUACCUCCUUAACCGCCUUCCUUCCGCUGCUUGUCCAGCUCCCACACCUCACCACGCUCUCUUUGGUACCCCUCCUCGCUAUGAUCACCUUCGAGUCUUUGGGUGUGCGUGUUAUCCCAACACCACCGCCACCGCUCCUCAUAAGCUGGCACCCCGUUCGACUCUCUGUGUCUUCCUUGGGUACUCCCUGGAUCACAAGGGGUACCGAUGCUACGACCUUACCUCUCGUCGAGUCCUCAUAUCUCGCCAUGUGGUGUUCGACGAGUCGAUCUUCCCCUUUUCCACCACUGCCACUCCUGCUUCCACCUCGGAGCAUGACCUCUCCUCUGUGUUUCCUACUGACCCGGUGGUCCAGCCACCGUUUCCGGUGUUUCCUGCAGGUACUGCUACGUCGCCUGUCGCCCGUGACACCUCGGGGCCUCUACCCUGCCCGGGUCCCGAGGUGUCACCUUCCGGCCCGGCCCCUGCGCCUGACGCGGGUCCCGGGUCGGCACCUUCGACACCGGCCCCACCGGUACGCUUCGCCCAGCCGGUGCGUGUCUACCAGCGACGUGCUCCCGGCGUGGGGUCGGCACCUUCGACACCGGCCCCACCGGCACGUUACGCCCAGCCGAUGCGCGUCUACCAGCGACGUGCCCGGCUGGCGCCGCUGCCUCCGGCGGCGCCGGUGGCCCCCUCUUCGCCGGGGUCACCUGCGCCACCGGUGACGUCUUCCCCGCCGGCGACACCGACCCCGCCGCCACGACACCCAGCUACUCGGGCCGUGACGCCGGUGUACCACCCACCGCUCCUUCACCGACACCCGCGUCAUGUUCACCCGAUGGUGACGCGACAUGCGGCUGGGACCCUGCAGCCCCGGGCUCUUGCGGCGAUGCCCGGGGACUCGCAGGUCUCACCGGUACCCUCUUCCGUCCGCGAGGCCUUGCUGGACCCUCACUGGCGCCGCGCGAUGGAAGAGGAGUACGCGGCCCUCCUCGCCAACCAGACAUGGGAUCUGGUGCCACGACCGCCGGGCUCCAACAUCGUCACCGGCAAGUGGAUCUGGACCCACAAGCGCCGGGCUGACGGCACACUUGAGCGGUACAAGGCUCGCUGGGUUCUCCGGGGCUUCACUCAGCUACCCGGUGUCGACUACGACGAGACCUUCAGCCCGGUGGUGAAGCCGGCCACCGUCCGCACGGUGCUCUCACUGGCUCUCACGCGCGGGUGGCCCGUGCAUCAGCUGGACGUCAAGAAUGCCUUCCUGCAUGGCGUUCUUACUGAGACAGUCUACUGCAGUCAGCCGGCGGGAUUUGUUGACUCUUCUUGUCCUGACAUGGUGUGUCGGCUCAACAAGUCUCUCUACGGCCUCAAGCAGGCCCCCCCGGGCGUGGAACCAUCGGUUUGCUGGUUUUCUGCUGACUUUGGGGUUUGUGGAGGCCAAGUCAGAUACCUCUCUGUUCAUCUAUCACCAUGGGGCAGAGACUGCAUAUCUGCUGCUCUAUGUUGAUGACAUUGUCCUCACAACCUCCACUGAGUCACUCCUUCGGCGGAUCAUUGCAUCACUUCAGCAGGAGUUUGCCAUGAAGGAUCUGGGUGCUCUACAUCACUUUCUCGGGGUCACUGUUGAGCCUCACCCUGCUGGAUUACUCCUUCACCAGCGGCAGUACACUCUUGAUAUCCUGGAGAGAGCUGGGAUGACUGACUGCAAGCCCUGCUCCACUCCGGUUGACACACAGGGCAAGAUAUCGGAGGCUGAGGGUAUACCAGUGACAGAUCCCACCGCUUAUCGGAGUCUUGCCGGGGCACUUCAGUACCUCACCUUCACUCGGCCGGAUAUCACCUAUGCAGUACAGCAGAUCUGCCUCCAUAUGCAUGAUCCUCGGGAGCCACACCUCGCCGCUCUCAAGCGGAUCCUACGGUACCUCCGCGGCACAGUCGACUUCGGUCUUCUCCUUCACCGACGGUCGUCCUCCACCGAGCUCGUCGUCUACACCGACGCCGACUGGGCCGGGUGCCCGGACACCCGCCGCUCCACCUCCGGCUACGCCGUCUUCUUAGGCGGCAACCUGGUGUCUUGGUCGUCCAAGCGACAGCCGGUCGUCUCCCGCUCCAGUGCCGAGGCGGAGUACCGUGCUGUCGCCAACGGCGUGGCUGAGGCUUCCUGGCUCCGUCAGCUCCUCGCCGAGCUCCACAGCCCUCUCUCCCGGAGCGCACUGGUCUACUGCGACAACGUCAGUGCGGUGUACCUCUCCACCAACCCGGUCCAGCACCAGAGGACCAAGCAUGUGGAGAUCGAUCUACACUUCGUCCGGGACCGGGUCGCUGUCGGCGAUGUUCGGGUCCUCCACGUCCCGACCACCUCCCAGUUCGCCGACAUCUUCACCAAGGGUCUCCCGUCCUCGACAUUCACCGAGUUCCGUACCAGCCUCAACAUCACCAGUGGCUAGUUGUGUCUGUGGGGGGCUCGUGUGUUGUACCUCUUUUCUUUCGUGUCCAGUCUGCGAACUCCGCUGCGACGGCAGUUCAGACUGCGGGGGGAUGUUAGAGUAUAUGAGUAUUAGGCCCAUGAGGCUAGGCCCAUGAGGCCCAUGUAUCCCUAACUAUAUGGCCACCCUGAUUAGGGUUAGCCCAAUAAUGAAAUCAGAAAGUCUAACAAAGGACAUCUGCACAGUUGAUGAGAUGUUUGAGUGGUUCAAUAACGAAAGCUUCUCAGGUACAACUCCAAUAGCUUCUCAGGCGGAAAUCAAUGUUCACUUGCAUCUCUCUAUUUUUACUCUCUUGUCAUUCAACCAUCACUAUUCACUUUCUUCUGCUUCAUUCCUGGCAGCUUUAUACCACUUUGGCUCGUAUAUGACCUUUCUCUGAAGUCGCUUGGUUUUUAUGAUCUUUUCUUUUCAAACCAAGUAGUAGAAAAUGUUUUUCUUCAGAAUGGGUUGCGGUAAUCCAUCUUGUGUUCUUCUUUGUUCUAGUACGUGCCAUGUAUCUUGUUUUUUGAAUCUACGACAAUUGUUGUGAUACAUUAUUAUGGGUGAACAAACACAGCAUGGCCUGUGACUUGAGUGGUUCUUCCCCUUCUAAAAAUAGAAAGCAUAGUGCCACAAAACUGAAAUCAUUUCGCCAGACCAGUGCAUCCAGUAGAACAAGUGCUAUGUUCCUAGGUAGACUAGAUGGUUUUCUAAAAUGUUUUUUUCCUAAAGUUUUCUAACCAGUAUGUUGCUAGGUAACUUACCCCUAAGUACUGCUACCAGUACAAUUGCUAAGCCCUCAGCUGCACAGUACCAAAUCAGGAGGACACUAAUUUUAAUCAUGUUUGUUAUUCCAGUUCUGAACAACUGCACCGAAGAGUUGCUUUAUGAGGCCUCACAGUUGCAUACGUGCUC